ACUUGCCAUGUUGAGCUUGUUACCAAACCAAACUGGGUCCAUCGCCUGACGUGCAACAAAGCCACUCUUCUGAUGCCAGACUGUGAUGAAGCCGCUGUGGAGAACAGUAUGGAGGUUCCUUAAAAAACUAAAAAUAAAGCUACCAUAUGAUCUAGCAAUCCCCCUCCUGGUCAUAUAUCUGGAAAAGAUGAAAACUCUAAUUCAAAAAGAAUUAUAUAUACAAUGGAAUGUUAGCCAUAAAAAAGAAUGAAAUUAUGCCAUUUGCAGCAACAUGGAUGGACCUAGAGAUGAUCAUACUAAGUGAAAAGCUGCAAAGUCCCCGCUGGUGUGUUCUGUGAGGUGCAUCGUCUGGUGGUGCAGGUGCCUCACCUAUGCCGGGGCACCCACCUGGGACGGCCGUGAGACCUGGUGAGAGAACUGUCAGAUCAUGAAGCUCUUCAAGCUUCUAGUUUCUCAUCUGUCAAGUCAGGAUAAUAACACCUGUCCUUCUUUAA